UACGUAGGGUGCGAGCGUUAAUCGGAAUUACUGGGCGUAAAGCGUGCGCAGGCGGUUCGUUGUGUCUGAUGUGAAAGCCCCGGGCUUAACCUGGGAAUGGCAUUGGAAACUGGCGAGCUGGAGUGUGGCAGAGGUCGAUGGAAUUGCCGGUGUAGUGGUGAGAUGCGUAGAGAUCGGCAGGAACACCCAGGGGGAAACCAGUCGACUGGGCAUCUACUGACGCUGAGGUGCGAGAGCGUGGGGAGCGAACCGG
rnacentral:rRNA from 1 species